UAUUAUCUUUUGGUACAGGAUGUAUUGGACACGUUCCUUGACCAUAUUUGAUACCACAUAUCCUCGGAGGAUUCCACAACUAAGGGGGAGAAUAUAUUUAGGGGGAGAAUAUAUGAAAGGGGGAAGAAAAAGUAAGUUAGCUUUCUUCUGUUGUCUACAACUAAGGGGGAGUAAACUACUCUUUAGUGUGGUACUGCUGAGGGGAGAUUUAUCUUUCAACUAAGGAGGAGGAUUGAUCUUUCAUCUAAGGGGAGACAACUACUUAUCACUAAGGGGAACCUGAUCAAGGUAACGGGAGGAGAAGUAUA
rnacentral:lncRNA from 1 species